UGGUUGGCUCUUGGGGGUAAAGGUGAGGAGCCCGAUUGGAUGAGAGAAAACCCAAGUCGACGCUCUCUCGUUCCCCCUCCUCGCCGUCGCUGCAUCCUGGCGUCGUCGUUGCGUCGUCCUCCUCCCCAUCCCACCUCUUCCCUUCCCGUCGCCUACCCUCCCUGCCUCGCCUCUUCUCUCCCUUCCCGUCGCCCACCCUCCCCGCAUCGCCUCUUCUCCUUUGCGUCGCCUAGGUUGGGCAGAGCCGCUGGGCUCAUCUUCCUCGCUGGCCGCCGCUCCCAUCGCCACACCGCACGAGAGGGUGAAGAGGACGAACCAAGGCGCCUCCUACAUCGAGCCCUCCUCAGUUUGUUCCGGAUCUGACCGCACACUUCACGUCCGCCAUCCGUUGUAUGUCGUUCGCUCGGUUGCCGCCAUGGUAACCCUUGCUCAAGUCGUGGAGGGGCGGCUGGUAGCGGUGAAUGGAGGAGAUCCACCACUGGUAGCAAGGAAAACGAGUCAACAUCGAUGCCAUCCGGCGCCUCCGCCCCGCGACCCUAAUUUGAUGAAGAAUGAUGCCCAUUGGUUGGCAUUUAUGAUAUAGCUUCCGACGUCGGAGGUUCCACAGAAUUUGUGAAGAGAAGUACAUCAAUAGAAAGACCUUUCUUCUGAUAAUUGUAUGUACUGGGAGAGGAGGUUUCCAUGACUAUCGAGCAUUCAUCAGUUACAACAGCUGAUGAAGAAUGGUGCCCUUUGGUUGGCAUUUAUUCUAUAACUUGUGACGUCGGAGGUUCCAUAGGAUUUGUGAAAAAAAUUGCAUCAAUAGAAAGGCCUUUCUUUCGAUAAUGCACUCCCUUCUCUGUUGCAUAUAUUUACUCCCUCCGUUUGUUUUUAGUCUGCAUAUAAAGUUUGGUCAAAGUCAAGUUUUGUAAAGUUUGACUAACUUUAUAUUAAAAAUAUCAACAUUCACAAUAUGAAACCAAUAUUACCAGAUGUGUCAUGAAAUAUAUUUUCAUACUAUAUAGUUUUAGUAUUAUAUAUGUUCUUAUUUUUUGAUAUAAAUUUGGUCACACUUUGUGUACUUUGACUUUACCAAAUCUUAUAUGCGGAGUAAAAAGAAACGGAGAGAGUACUUUAGGUAUUAACCAUGGACACAUAAAUGUAAAUUGCUUGUGAUCUUCUGUCAAUUUUCUGUUAAAUAAGUAUAACCAUCUCUGGUAAAUACCAAUGAGGAAAUUACUUUUAGGAUAUAAGCAAUGAGGAGAGAGUGGCUCUUAGUUUUUACUUUAUGAAUAUCCACAUCAAUUCUCUGGAUGUGGUGCACACAAAAUUAGAUCUCACCUUCAGUUUGAUUUUAAACCGAGAGGAACCAAUGGAGCAGUCGAUUCAUAGGCAAAAGAUCUAAGAUCAGUUAACUUGAUUAUCAUACUAUAGGGAGUUCAAAUCCCUUUAUAUUCCAAAAUUAACAAAACUGAGAUGUAAAACUUUGUCAGUGUUGAAUAAUGCAUCAAAUAACAUUUUGGAAUCCUUUUGCUUUAAUUAUGUUAUACUUACCAACUUACCUUUCUGAACUAGUAUACUCUGUUUCGAUAAAACAAGAAAGAAGGAACCGAAGAGGUCCUAAUAUUUAUGGGAAGUGUAUCUUAUGUUCCUUAUUUCGUUUCUUCUUGCUAAAAGGUUCUAAUUUGCCUAAAAAGGUCUUGACUUGCUAUGUUUGCUUACAGGUUCUUUGUUCCUUCGAUUUUGAUUUCUCAGUUCCCUCUUUUUUGUUUUUCCUAGGUUCAUGUUAGCUGAUUGACUGUAUGUUGUUUCUUUACAACUUAAAGAAAUGCAGUCUAGUCUACAAACAAGUCGAUUAAGUGUUCAUAGGUUGCUUGCAAGUCCGUAGAGAUGCUAACUUGGAAGCAACUAUAUAUGUUACUACUUCUCAUCAAUCUGAACGGAUACUACUUUUUUAGGCUUUUGCACAAUAACAGAAUUAGCGUUUGGUUGCUAUAUUUACCCUUGACGUUGGUUUGCCUAUAUAAGUCACUUGCUUAGCUACUUCAAACCUGCUUCUAAAAGAUGGGAGUUUUAUUGUCGCCACAAGUAAAUUUGCUUGCCUUCUUCUAGCUUCUUUCUUGGUUUAUCCAACUAUUUUACAUUUAAUCAUCAGUUUCUGGCAUUGCAAACUUGAUUGAUUUCAUAUGACUUCCCGUUUCAUGGCUUCAAACUUGCUUCUAAAGGAUGAAAGUUCUAUUGCUGCCACAAGUAAAAUUGCUUGCAUUCGGCUCCUUACCUGGUUUAUCCAACUAUUUUGCAAUCAAUGUUGGUUGCUGAUAUUGCAAAGUUGCUUAAUCUAUCUUGCUGAGAAUUUCUAGUUGCUAGAAGUUAGCUUCUCUAUACAGUCUGAUAUCGCUGAUCUCAAAUGAAUCUUUAUUUAUUUCUUGUUUUAAUUAGUGCACCAAUUUUAUUUUUCCCCGCAAUGGUUUUGAAGAUAUAUAACUGUGGCGCAGACGGCAACCAUCUUCAACCAGCUUCAGAGUACUCUGCUACCCUAUUUCUCCUUGCCGCUGCCUACUCGGCUUCGUUUGGCAUUAUUUCCAUAGGUAUAAGGGUUUCAGUAAUGUCAGCUCAUGCAAGUCAGCAUUUUGUUAAUGUGAGAAAGUGAAGAGAAAAUUGAAGCAUCAAAUUAAUAAUGAAGUGUUUUUAUGAGAAUUGAAACCUUCCACUUUCAAUGUAGGAGAUUAGUAUGAAAUGCGAGUGUUUUAUAGAGAAAUUUAGUUCAUAUGAAGCAAAUAAAAUGCAUGCAACACCUCACAUUUAGAUUGUGAUUAUUAGAUACUCAAAACCUGGUAAAGAAUAUAUUUCAAGAAUAUAUUCAUGACCAAAUGUUUGACAUGACCCCAUUAUCUAUGAAAGAAAAUUCUAGCAGUGAAGCCAUAUUGUAGAUUGAAGAACUUCAGGAUGACAAGGUUUUAUGCCUUUUAUUGUAUAAUAUAUCUAAGGAAGCCAUAUUGUAGAACAUAUUUAUGGACUUCCUUGCUCCUAUCUUCAUGUAGUGUGACCUUUUUACUUCAGUCUGCAAAAGUUUGUGUAAACUGUAUUCUUGAAGUUAUCUCUAAGUGAACAUUGUUUACCCAUUACAUUGUUAUUUUCAGUUCAUUUGUUUAUUAUCGUCAUACAAUAUAAUUCAGAGAACACUAGUGUGUUUGUUUACUCCGAGAAAACACUUGAUAGCCGGAAGAAGCAAUUCAUAGAUAGGGUGAACCUUGCAUAUAUACAUGAAAAGAAAAUCUUGUGGUGGUUCUCAGUUUUCCUUUAUUGGGUUUGCACGUGAAUCCUACAUCUUUGCAGUUUCUUUUUAAGUCCCGUGUCUAUACAUCGAGCAAUUUAUAUUAGGGGUCUGCCUUUGUGUUGUGUAAUAAUGUCUGCUACACAUGUUUUUCUGAAUUACUAUACUCUAUCAAGGUAAGAACCUUUUGUGCUUUUUUGUUGUCGAUUUGGUCUUAGCCGAAAUAGUAUUGUGCUUAAAUUUUGUUGUUGUUCUGAUCUUCUAUUCCGCUAUUUAGUUUCUUCCCUUUGCUUCUGCCUCUUUUUGAUUUUUUUCCUUUGCCUAUCUUGGCAGUUUCUUCGGCGUUCUCUUCUUGGAUUUAGUUUCCCUCUUUCUCUUCCUUUUUUCACUAUUCUUUGCCUUCUCUUCACCUUAUUGGUAGUGUCCGUUGUUUUGCAGGUACUUAUCGAUGUAGAUUGGGCAUGGACUGUUGCCUCACAUUUCUUUCAAGCAGUCACGACUUUGGCUGGUUGGGGGUUUCUUGUCUGCUCAGUUUUGUGCAGCCUGUACUUGGCCUAGCGCUCGCUGAGAACCAGAAGCUAGGGCCAUUCAUGUAGCUGCUACCCAUGUGCAGCAAGCUGCUCAACCAAGGUGAGAUAUGCUAAUCUCCCACUUACUGCUUUGUCAGCUGGAUGGUGUGAUUUUACUUCAUUAGUGGGAGUGGGAGUGUUGUUCCUCUGUCCAAGGGAUUCACUAUCUUCAGUGAGUGCAAUCAUUUUGUUUAAAUGGUGGUGUUAGAUCUAAAUUUACAUUGACUGCAUCACACUCUAAUGUCUUUUGGUUAGAUCAACCUGUAGAACAAACUAUAUGCUGACCAUCAUCAUGUUUUAGCCUUUUAGGUAUAUUAGAUAAGUAUAUCUAAGAAAUGGCUAGUGUCUUGUGAGGAUUGAGAAAAGUAGUGGUUUGUGUUACUGUGAAUGAUCAUACAAAUUAUGUUGGAUUUGGUUCUUAUGUGCAUAUGCUUUUUGAUAUC